GAUGAACGCUGGCGGCGUGCCUAAUACAUGCAAGUCGAGCGAACAGACGAGGAGCUUGCUCCUCUGACGUUAGCGGCGGACGGGUGAGUAACACGUGGAUAACCUACCUAUAAGACUGGGAUAACUUCGGGAAACCGGAGCUAAUACCGGAUAAUAUAUUGAACCGCAUGGUUCAAUAGUGAAAGACGGUUUUGCUGUCACUUAUAGAUGGAUCCACGCCGCAUUAGCUAGUUGGUAAGGUAACGGCUUACCAAGGCAACGAUGCGUAGCCGACCUGAGAGGGUGAUCGCCCACACUGGAACUGAGCCACGGUCAAGACUCCUACGGGAGGCAGCAGUAGGGAAUCUUCCGCAAUGGGCGAAAGCCUGACGGAGCAACGCCGCGUGAGUGAUGAAGGUCUUCGGAUCGUAAAACUCUGUUAUUAGGGAAGAACAAAUGUGUAAGUAACUAUGCACGUCUUGACGGUACCUAAUCAGAAAGCCACGGCUAACUACGUG
rnacentral:rRNA from 1 species